CUACGGGUUGCUGCAGUGAGGAAUAUUGCGCAAUGGGGGAAACCCUGACGCAGCGACGCCGCGUGGAUGAUGAAGGCCUUAGGGUCGUAAAAUCCUGUCAGGUGGGAAGAAGUGGAUAUAGAUUAAUACUCUAUUUCUUUGACGGUACCACCAAAGGAAGCACCGGCUAACUCCGUGCCAGCAGCCGCGGUAAUACGGAGGGUGCAAACGUUGUUCGGAAUUACUGGGCGUAAAGCGCGCGUAGGCGGUUUGUUCAGUCAGAUGUGAAAGUCCAUGGCUCAACUAUAGAAGUGCAUUUGAAACUGGCAGACUUGAGUACUGGAGGGGGUGAUGGAAUUCCCGGUGUAGAGGUGAAAUUCGUAGAUAUCGGGAGGAAUACCGGUGGCGAAGGCGAUCACCUGGCCAGAUACUGACGCUGAGGUGCGAAAGCGUGGGGAGCAAACAGGAUUAGAUACCCUCGUAGUC
rnacentral:rRNA from 1 species